rnacentral:misc_RNA from 1 species
AAGACUAUAGACCUGCGGAGUACCUGCGGAAGGAUCAUUAACGUAUCUAUGAUGGGGUGCGGAGCGCCCUGCUCCGGUCGAACGGCCGUGCAGCGGGUGCGCCGCCCCCGUCCCACCUCACAAACCCACUGUGAACAUUCACCGGUGGAGGGGGCUCGGUCUGCGCCGUGUCCCCGAUGCCGGAUACCCAAACUCCAGUUGCAAAGAACGUCGUGCGGACUCGGUGCCGCCUAAAACAUG